AGUGAACGCUGGCGGCGUGCUUAACACGUGCAAGUCGAACGAGAACGGAUUAUAGCUUGCUAUAUUGUCAGCUAAGUGGCGCACGGGUGAGUAAUGUAUAGGUAAUAUGCCUCUUACUAAGGGAUAACAAAUGGAAACGUUUGCUAAUACCUUAUACUCCUUAUUAACAGAAGUUAAUAAGGGAAAGAUUUAUUGGUAAGAGAUUAGCCUGUAUUGUAUCAGUUAGUUGGUGGGGUAAUGGCUUACCAAGACUAUGACACAUAACUGGUUUGAGAGGAUGAUCAGUCACACUGGAACUGAGACACGGUCCAGACUCCUACGGGAGGCAGCAGUGGGGAAUAUUGCACAAUGGACGAAAGUCUGAUGCAGCAACGCCGCGUGGAGGAUGACACAUUUCGGUGCGUAAACUCCUUUUAUAUGAGAAGAUAAUGACGGUAUUAUAUGAAUAAGCACCGGCUAACUCCGUGCCAGCCGCCGCCGUAA
rnacentral:rRNA from 1 species